CCUACGGGUGGCAGCAGUGGGGGAUAUUGCUCAAUGGGGGGAACCCUGAUGCAGCGACGCCGCGUGGGGGAAGAAGCUUUUCGGCGCGUAAAGCCCUAUUGGCAGGGAAGAUAAUGACGGUACCUGACGAAUAAGCCCCGGCUAACUACGUGCCAGCAGCCGCGGUAAUACGUAGGGUGCAAGCGUUAUCCGGAUUUACUGGGCGUAAAGGGGGCGCAGACGGGAAUGCAAGACAGGAGUGAAAGCCCAGGGCCUCACCCCGGGACUGCUCUUGGAACUGGAUGGCUGGAGUACAGGAGGGGUAGGCGGAAUUCCUAGUGGAGCGGUGAAAUGCGUAGAGAUUAGGAGGAAUACCGGUUGCGAAGGCGGCCUGCUGGAACGUGACUGACGGUGAGGCCCGAAGGCGUGGGGAGCAAACAGGAUUAGAUACCCCUGUAGUC
rnacentral:rRNA from 1 species